CCCGAGCUGCUACUCGAGAGCAGCAGGGUAGGUGGUGCCCCGUCACGUGCCGGAAUCACCUGACUCAGAGCCGCGGAGGGGGGAGGAGGAGUCACGAGGAGGGCGGCCCGGCCGCGCCUCUAGCCCGGGCUCGGGCCCUCAGCCCUCCGCCCCGGCCCGCAUACAACGCUGUCUGCACCGCUCCCCUGCCUUCUUCCGGGAUCCCAGAGCACCGCUAUGGAGAUGCUCUCCCAGCAUUUGAGGAAGAAUUGAUUGUCCUCAUCCUGCAACUGUACUUGCCCAACCGAUAUUUAUUGAUGCCUGCAGUGUCCUGGGUGCCUACCAAGGGGCACAGAACUGGAUCCGACUCAGACCCUGCCUGCCUUCAGGUUGCUUGAAGAUGAACAGAGAGAUCGGACCUCUGCGAAGUUGCUGCCCACUCUUUUUUGAAAGGCCUCGCAUACACAGAUCAAAACUGGGUGGCACUGCUGUGAGAAGUUCUCAUCCUACAGAGACAGGAUUUAGCCAUGUCGCCCAUGCUGGUCUCGAACUCCUGAGCUCAAGCAAUCUGCCCACCUCGGCCCCCUGAAGUAUUGAGAUGACAGGAAGAAGGAAACAAAUAACUCUGGAGGAGCCGCCUUGCAGGAAGAAGUGGAGACUGUCUCCCUGGCUGUGGUCUCCAGUGUCCAGGUCAGCAAAGGGCUAGGAACUGGCUUAGUUGGAGUUAGAAAAACUUAGGAGGGUAGGGGGUGCUGGGGAGAACAUGAUGGCUGGAGGGAAAGCCAGUGUGAAGGGCAGGGAAGAGGAAUGGAAUUACUCAGCCCUCAUCCUCAGCCCUUCCCUGCCAUUUCCCUCGGGAAGAUAGCCCCUGACUCCUGGCCCAACAUGCUGCCAACUUUUAAAAUGAAAGUAGCAGGAUCCAAAGCAGCCACACCAGGAGGUCACUCCAGAAGGGGGGUUACCAACGAAGCACCCCACAUGUCCCUCCUCCUUCCUGCACAGCACCCCUCGGCCCUGCACUUCCUGCUGCCGCCCCCUUGUCCUGACAUGGGACUCCCUCCACUCCCUCCCAGCUCCCACAUCUUACCCUGAAAGACCAAGGUAGGGGCGUCCCAGCCCACGCCUUCCGGUCCUUGCGUUCCAGGCUUCCUGGGCCAAGGGGUUGCCCACUGCCCUGAAGAUCCCGCUCUGCCAGGCGCUCCUCCGUCCCUCCCCAAACGAAAAUCCUCCAGACAGGUUCCAAAGCUGCCCAGCCCAGGAGGAGGGAGGCUGAGGAAAUCCCCUCCCAGCUGGGCUGGGCCGGCCUGCUUGGCAGUCUUGCUCCUGGGCUGGCCCUGGAUGAAUGAGUCCUCCUCUUCGCCUGCUUGGGUCUUAGCCAGGGAGCCGGUGGCAGCCUCUGCUCUUUCUCCAGGACACUGAGCUCCAUUCCUCCUCCAAGUCCUGCCCUCCUGCUUCAUGCCUGGGUCCCCUGCUCUCCACUCUCAGCUCUCUGACGCCUCAACGAGGUGGUCUCUAUCACUCUGCAUUUGGUUAUGCUCCAGUCUGAAGCCAGGCCUGUACUGGGCACCAGGGUGGGUGACUUGAUGAUCCUCAGCAGAGAUUUAGUCCACAGAAGAAUUGGUGACACCAUGGCCCCUGGUGAAAUAGCUUUGCCAGCUCUGAUUAUUCAUUCAAAGCAUUUUGAGAAUAACUGGCCUUGUGUGAGGCCCUGAGGAUGAAGAGGUAGGUUAACGGGGUCCCUGACCUCCUACUCUACUAGGAAGACAAAGAAUGAAGCUCUAAGUAGACGCUGCUCAAGAUUCAGGCAGAAGGCGGCCAGGCAUGGUGGCUCACGCCU